GGGGGUAGAUAGGUCCCGGUGGGCUUCACGGUCUUCAAAAUCGUUGCGAGGCGGUGGUACCGUCUUGGGUGGGUUCGACUCCCAUCUACUCCCGC
rnacentral:tRNA from 1 species